ACGAACGCUGGCGGCGUGCUUAACACCUGCCAGUCGAACGGAAAGGCCCUGCUUUUGUGGGGUGCUCGAGUGGCGAACGGGUGAGUAACACGUGAGUAACCUGCCCUUGACUUUGGGAUAACUUCAGGAAACUGGGGCUAAUACCGGAUAGGAGCUCCUGCUGCAUGGUGGGGGUUGGAAAGUUUCGGCGGUUGGGGAUGGACUCGCGGCUUAUCAGCUUGUUGGUGGGGUAGUGGCUUACCAAGGCUUUGACGGGUAGCCGGCCUGAGAGGGUGACCGGCCACAUUGGGACUGAGAUACGGCCCAGACUCCUACGGGAGGCAGCAGUGGGGAAUAUUGCACAAUGGGCGGAAGCCUGAUGCAGCAACGCCGCGUGCGGGAUGACGGCCUUCGGGCUGUAAACCGCUUUCGCCUGUGACGAAGCGUGAGUGACGGUAAUGGGUAAAGAAGCACCGGCUAACUACGUG
rnacentral:rRNA from 1 species